rnacentral:rRNA from 1 species
UACGGAGGAUGCGAGCGUUAUCCGGAUUUAUUGGGUUUAAAGGGUGCGUAGGCGGGCUUUUUAGUCAGCGGUAAAAAUUCGGGGCUCAACCCCGUCCGGCCGUUGAAACUGGGGGCCUUGAGUGGGCGAGAAGAAGGCGGAAUGCGUGGUGUAGCGGUGAAAUGCAUAGAUAUCACGCAGAACCCCGAUUGCGAAGGCAGCCUUCCGGCGCCCUACUGACGCUGAGGCACGAAAGUGCGGGGAUCGAACAGG